GAACGCUGGCGGCGUGCUUAACACAUGCAAGUCGAGCGGAAAGGCCCUUCGGGGUACUCGAGCGGCGAACGGGUGAGUAACACGUGAGCAACCUGCCCUAGGCUUUGGGAUAACCCCGGGAAACCGGGGCUAAUACCGAAUAUGACCUUUCCCCGCAUGAGGGAAGGUGGAAAGUUUUUCGGCCUGGGAUGGGCUCGCGGCCUAUCAGCUUGUUGGUGGGGUGAUGGCCUACCAAGGCGACGACGGGUAGCCGGCCUGAGAGGGCGACCGGCCACACUGGGACUGAGACACGGCCCAGACUCCUACGGGAGGCAGCAGUGGGGAAUAUUGCACAAUGGGCGGAAGCCUGAUGCAGCGACGCCGCGUGAGGGAUGACGGCCUUCGGGUUGUAAACCUCUUUCAGCAGGGACGAAGCGUAAGUGACGGUACCUGCAGAAGAAGCGCCGGCCAACUACGUGCCAGCAGCCGCGGUAAGACGUAGGGCGCGAGCGUUGUCCGGAUUUAUUGGGCGUAAAGAGCUCGUAGGCGGC
rnacentral:rRNA from 1 species